GGAUCCCUCCUGCGAGGGUGUUCUGGGGGCAGCCCACAAGUGUCGCCACAUUCCGGCACCAACAUAGCAUGCCCGCAACUUCCUAACCCGUAUGUCUUUGGAAUGUGGGAGGAAACCGGAGCACCCGGAGGAAACCCACGCAGACACAGGGAAUUUCUUUCCAUAGCAAUAAGAACCCACAUGCAGCACGAGGUUACAAGCACACGGUGACAUACUAGACCAAGGAGCUACAACAGGCUGACGACCCCAAUCCGUCUACGAUGUUGUUCACUCUUCGACUGAAACUAGUCGUUCACGGUU